GAUGAAGAGCGCAGCGAAAUGCGAUAAGUAGUGUGAAUUGCAGAAUUCAGUGAAUCAUCGAAUCUUUGAACGCACAUUGCGCCCCUUGGUAUCCCGAGGGGCAUGCCUGUUCGAGCGUCAUUUCACCACUCAAGCCUGGCUUGGUGUUGGGCGACGUCCUCUUUGGGGACGCGCCUCGAAACGCUCGGCGGCGUGGCACCGGCUUUAAGCGUAGCAGAAUCUUUCGCUUUGGAAGUCGGGGCCCCGUCUGCCGGAAGACCUGCUCGCAAGGUUGACCUCGGAUCAGGCAGGGAUACCCGCUGAACUUAAGCAUAUCAAUAAGCGGAGGA
rnacentral:misc_RNA from 1 species